rnacentral:misc_RNA from 1 species
AAACACCUGACCGCCGCUCGCGGCGGGUCUUGAGGCGUCGCGGUCCCGGACCGCGUCCCUCGAAAUGCAGUCG